rnacentral:rRNA from 1 species
CGAGCGAACAGAUAAGGAGCUUGCUCCUUUGACGUUAGCGGCGGACGGGUGAGUAACACGUGGGUAACCUACCUAUAAGACUGGAAUAACUCCGGGAAACCGGGGCUAAUGCCGGAUAACAUAUAGAACCGCAUGGUUCUAUAGUGAAAGAUGGUUUUGCUAUCACUUAUAGAUGGACCCGCGCCGUAUUAGCUAGUUGGUAAGGUAAUGGCUUACCAAGGCGACGAUACGUAGCCGACCUGAGAGGGUGAUCGGCCACACUGGAACUGAGACACGGUCCAGACUCCUACGGGAGGCAGCAGUAGGGAAUCUUCCGCAAUGGGCGAAAGCCUGACGGAGCAACGCCGCGUGAGUGAUGAAGGGUUUCGGCUCGUAAAACUCUGUUAUUAGGGAAGAACAUAUGUGUAAGUAACUGUGCACAUCUUGACGGUACCUAAUCAGAAAGCCACGGCUAACUACGUGCCAGCAGCCGCGGUAAUACGUAGGUGGCAAGCGUUAUCCGGAAUUAUUGGGCGUAAAGCGCGCGUAGGCGGUUUCUUAAGUCUGAUGUGAAAG